CCCAGGGCUUGAAAGCGAGUGCUGGGGACGAGUGCAGAGAAGCCCACGUCUGAGCUUGUGGGGGGACACAGAAAGCCCUGCACCCCCCGGGACCCACCGCUGCUGCAGCACAGACAAAGCCACAGACUGUUUGCUGGUUAAUCACUCGAGGCAGCACAACUAUGAUGAUGACAUGCUGAAGCAGAAAAGCACAACACGUGGUGUCUGAUGAAGUUGGGGAUGGGAACAAGAGAAAAAUGAAUACCACGAAGGGUCGUCGCAAAGUUGCCGAAGCAGCUGAAAUACCGGUGACUCGAGUCAUUCAUCCUGAAGUUUCCGAAACUGCACUGAAACUCGAUACAGCGAUUGCCUGGACUAAUGGACCGCCAUGAACUUCAUACUGAACUUCAGCCGGACAAAGCUGGGAUGGUUUAGUUGGAGAUGACCCUGCCUUGGCCCGGGGCUGGACUAGAUGACCUUGGGAGGUCUCUUCCAGCCCCGUUUUCCUAUGAUUUACAGCAAGUAAGGACUCGGCCCAUAACUCAGCAACCAAUACUACACACAACCUAACAGAUACGGCUUUGACUCUCGACUCACCUACUUCAGUAGAAAAUCUGUGAAGACCUUGAAAGCACCUUUAAUGCGGUCGUGGGGUCUACAUUAUUGGAGAGGGGGAUUAAAAAGGUUUGGCACCGUGCAGAAAUUUGAUUGUGGACUCAAGGAAACCCUCGCUGAAGACGAGAAGAAGCUGUGCAGACCGCAGACAGCUACUCCCUACUCCCACAGGAAAUGCAAAAAACCAUCAACCUCUAGUCAAUGUAUGGACUCCGCAACAUUGGUCCAGAUUCAAAAUUAGGCAAAGCUCAUUCAAGACCACUGCCAUUGUCUGCUAAGCUCUGCAUGUCAUUUAGCAGCUGGGCUCAACGAGUAAAAUGCAAAAUGUCAAAAUGACGGUUAGAGUUACAUUCCUAUACUGGACUUCCAGAAGGCUUUCGACGCUGUCUCU
rnacentral:lncRNA from 1 species